GGGCUCUGGCCGCCUGGCUCCAACAUCAAGCACCGGGCUCCGAGUGGCCGGGAUCAGCGCCCCGAGGCAGAGGCCGGAGGGCGCGCGCACUGCUAGGAAGUGCUGGUCCCCCGCGCCGCUCUGCCUGCUUGGUCCCCCGGCAGACGCCCCUGCACGAUCGCCGCUCGCCCCGCGGGCGAGGCUGCGGUGGACAGCGCGGGGCUCCGGCUGGCUCGCCUUCCCGCCUGCCGUGUCCUGCUGAGCGACCCUGGAGUACACAUCCAGAUGCCAGCCCAGCUACCACAGGGGAUCCCUCUGGGAGACUGAAAGUACAGGUUCUGGGGCCCAGGUUGAGGCCGACCAACCCUGAGCCUCAGGCCAGGGGAAUGGCAGCCCCCUUGGAGGCCCAGGACCAGGCCCCUGGGGAGGGAGAAGGGCUUCUCAUUGUGAAAGUGGAAGACUCCUCCUGGGAACAGGAAUCUGCCCAGCAUGAGGAUGGCAGGGAUUCCGAAGCCUGCCGCCAGCGCUUCCGGCAAUUCUGCUACGGGGAUGUGCAUGGGCCUCAUGAGGCCUUCAGCCAGCUCUGGGAGCUCUGCUGCCGCUGGCUGCGGCCCGAGCUGCGUACCAAGGAGCAGAUCCUGGAGCUGCUGGUGCUGGAGCAGUUCCUGACAGUGCUGCCAGGGGAGAUCCAGGGCUGGGUGCGUGAGCAGCACCCGGGAAACGGUGAGGAGGCUGUCGCCUUGGUGGAGGACCUACAGAAGCAGCCAGUGAAAGCCUGGCGACAGGUGAGGGGCCCUUCCACAUCCAGGGGCAGCUGGAUGGUAUCUGAGCUCGAGAGAAGUGGGUAACCUGCAGAGAUAAGUCUCCCAGAGGCUCACAGGGUAGGGGAGACACAGACCCCCCAGGAGCAGGCACACAAGCACAGUGUGCCAUGGGUGCCUUUCUGAAAGAUGCAAUCCAAAGUAAAUGUGAUUUAUUUUUUGUGGCUUUGGAAGGCAGCAAUAGGGCUGAAGUGCGAAUGUUCCAGACAGGAGGUUUUAGCUCCAUGCAGGGUCUGCUGAUGUUUAUUUGCAUUUUGCUCUAGGCCUGGCUCUGGGGACACAAGGGUGUGCAUAGAGCCAGCUCCAGAGUGGGGCGAGAAGGUGGAGCUGUCCGGGGCCCCUGCUACCUUGUGGGAUGUUGGCUCCUUCACAUUGGAUGCAUCUGGGGAGGUUCUAAUGAGUGGCUGGGGGAUGGGGUUCUGCCUUUGGCAGGAGGGUCCCCAGCUACCCGCUUGCUAAGUGGCUGUGAUUCUGGCCUUUCAGGGCUGGUUCUUGCCUCGUGAAUGAUCGGGGAGCAUCCUUGGGCACACAGCAUUACCUGGUAUCACAUUCUCCUCCGGACUUUUCCUGGGGCACCAUAUUGGUCUCCUUCCCACACCCCAGCAUCCUGAGGGUCAUGUCCUGUGUCUCCUUCCCAGGGAGUAAACUCUGUCUCCCCCGGUCUGGUCUCGGGCUGAUGAGCAUGUUGUGGUUCCUGCACAGGAUGUGCCCUCGGAGGAGGCGGAACCCGAGGCUGCAGGCCGGGGAUCCCAGGCCACGGGGCCUCCCCCAACGGUGGGGGCACGGAGGCAGCCGUCUGUUCCCCAGGAGCAGCACAGCCAUAGCGGUGAGUAAGCCUCCGUUCUUGUGGACAGUCGAGUGGCUGGGCAGGGACCUAGCUUUGUCACCGGCGUUGCCCUAAGGGUCACAGGCAGGACAGCUCCCUCUGUGAAGUCCAGGGCGUGUGUGCAUGCGCACAGGCUGGGGAGGCCAUAGGCGUCGGUGUCAAGCCUGGGCUGGCCUUUCUAAGGCUCCAUUCUUCUCCUUCAGCCCAGCCUCCUGCUCUUCUUCAAGAGGGGCAUCCCGGAGAGACGACGGACACCUGCUUUGUCUCUGGGGUCCAUGUGAGUCACCAGUCCCUUUGUCUUCUUUAAGGCACUUGGCCCUGUUGAGUUUGUAAAAUGGGACUUGCUGUCCCAUCAGGCCUCUUUCAUCUGACCCAUCCUGUCCCCGCCAGUGCUGCUGGGAGGCCUGAGCAAGGGAGGCCUGAGCCGGGUCUUCUCACCCCAUUCCAGGGACCUGUGGCAUUGGGAGACAUCCCAUUCUAUUUCUCCCGGGAAGAAUGGGGCACCCUGGACCCUGCUCAGCGGGAUCUCUUCUGGGGCAUAAAGCGGGAGAACUCCCGGAACACCACCCUGGGUAAGCACCCAGGGCCUUUGGGUCCAGGCUGGCCGCCCCCGAUUCUGCUGGAACUUCAGUCUUGUUUCCCACCCCAUCCUUAGCUGGUUCCAAAGCAGGCUCUCCCUAGGUCUUGCCAGGAGCCUGAGUAACUCCUUUCUUGGCUGAUGAUCAGUUUUUGUGUGUUUCCACACGCAGCAUGGGACGGCGUCGGCACUGCCCAGCCCUGCUGUUGCUCUAAGGGCAACUUCUCCUUUGAGUCUGACAACCUAGUGCAUGGAAGUAUUGUCCCCAUUUUACACAUAAGGGACCUGAGACUCAGGUCAGUGGAUGCUGAAGGGACACAGCUGGGACUUGGAUCAGGCAUAGUUGUGAGGCCACCUUGGGCUGCUAGGAGCAGGGGUGCUGACGGGGAACCCCAGCUGCUCACCAGCCUGGGCCCCUGCUCGUCAGAACUGCACUUACCAGGUUCCUCUCCAUGCCAGGCCCCUUCUCAGCACCAUCAGGGAUCAUCUUGUUCAGUCCACACUCCCAGCAGGAUGGGCUGCGACCUCUGUCCAGAUCUGUCCAGAUCUGUGUUGAGUUUGGAGAACUAGAGCCUGCGUGGUGAAGGGAGCCACACUAGCUAGACCAGUUUGGCUCCUCAGUUUCCGACUGUGACAGUUGGGAAAAUUUUUCUUUCUUUCUUUUUUUUGAGAUGGAGUCUUGCUCUGUCGCCAGGCCGGAAUGCAGUGGUGUGAUCUCAGCUCACUGAAACUUCCACCUCCCGGGUUCAAGCAAUUCUCCUGCCUCAGCCUGAGUAGCUGGGAUUACAGGCAUGAGCCACCAUGCCCGGCUAUUUUUUAAAUAUUUUUAAUAGAGACGAGUUUUCACCAUGUUGGUCAGGCUGGUCUCGAACUCCUGACUUCAUGAUCCACCUGCCUCGGCCUCCCAAAGUGCUGGGAUUACAGGCGUGAGCCACCGCGCCCGGCCCUUGAAAAGUUUCAAAAUUACUAUAAAUCUGUUCUGCUGUGGAGCUUGAUAUCUGGGGUUCAGAGUGGGACAUUGGAUCCCAGUGUGGCCUGCAGGGCACAGAUGGCUUAGGGGGCUGGCCCAUGCAGGCGGGAUCAGAGGCUUAUUCAGACUGCUGCUCUGCCGAAUUUUUUCAUCAUCCCUGAUUUAUUUGGGUUUUUGUUUGUUUUUGAGACAAAGUCUCGCUCUUGGAGUGCAAUGGCAUGAUCCCGGCUUACUGCAACCUCCACUUCCUGGGUUCAAGUGAUUCUUCUGCCUCAGCCUCCUGAGUAGCUGGGAUUACAGAUGUGCGCCACCAUGCCCUGCUGAUUUUUGCAUUUUUUAAUAGAGACGGGGUUUCGCCAUGUUGGCUAGGCUGGUCUCGAACUCCUAACCUCAGGUGAUCAGCUCGCCUCAGCCUCCCAAAAUGUUGGGAUUACAGGCUUGAGUCACUGCGCCUGGCCAAUCAUCCCUGUUUUAUAGAUGAGGAACCUGAGAAUUCAGCUGUGUGAACCCAGGGCUUUCUGAACCUGGAGGCCAGGGAGCUUUCCCCAGCCUUGUUUCUUCCUCACCUCAGCUCUGGCCCCAGAACCGAGUGGGACUGAAGAGGUCGCCUCCUUCCCCUUGCAGGUUUUGGGCUCAAAGGCCAAAGUGAGAAGUCCCUGCUGCAGGAGAUGGUGCCGGUGGUGCCAGGCCAGACAGGCAGCGACGUGACUGUGUCCUGGAGCCCCGAGGAGGCUGAGGCCUGGGAGAGCGAGAACCGGCCGAGGGCGGCCCUGGGCCCAGUGGUGGGCGCGCGACGGGGGCGGCCACCCACUCGCCGGCGCCAGUUCCGGGACCUGGCAGCCGAGAAGCCGCACAGCUGCGGGCAGUGUGGAAAGCGCUUCCGCUGGGGCUCGGACCUGGCGCGGCACCAGCGCACGCACACGGGCGAGAAGCCACACAAGUGCCCUGAGUGCGACAAGAGCUUCCGCAGCUCCUCGGACCUGGUGCGCCACCAAGGCGUGCACACGGGCGAGAAGCCCUUCUCCUGUUCCGAGUGCGGCAAGAGCUUCAGCCGCAGCGCCUACCUGGCCGACCACCAGCGCAUCCACACGGGCGAGAAGCCUUUCGGCUGCAGCGACUGCGGCAAGAGCUUCUCGCUGCGCUCCUACCUGCUGGACCAUCGGCGUGUGCACACCGGUGAGCGGCCCUUCGGCUGCGGAGAGUGCGACAAGAGCUUCAAGCAGCGCGCGCACCUCAUCGCGCAUCAGAGCCUGCACGCCAAGAUGGCCCAGCCCGUGGGGUGAGCAGCUGGCUUGGCCGGAAACCCGGGGGAGGCCCAGCCACGGCACAUCCUGCUUUGUUCACCACUGGGACUCUCCUUCCAUCUGUGGCCACCUCCCGGGCUGUCCGAGGGACCCCAGGGUACCUCACACUCGGAGCUCGCCUGCCCUGCUUGGCUCUGAGGACUGCCCAGCACUCAAAGAGAACGGAAGCCUUCCCCUCCCGCCCCCGAUCUUGUCCUCUUUCCCCCUUCUGCGCCUAGCGUUCCUCUUCCCCUCUAGUUUCCUGGAGCCCCAACACAUUCCUGGCAGGGACAGCAGGGUGGCAAGGACUCAGGUCUAGGUCCCUUCCCAGAAGCCCCCGAGCCUCAUUUGACUGUGUGGCUCUUUGGCCCCCGCCCUGUGGGGUGGGUCCAUGGGUCAGGCCUCUGCCCUACCAACCUGUGCCUUUCAGUGGGCGUGGAGGACUGGCCUUGGCCCCCCAGGGGGCUGCUGGACUUUGGGAGAGACAGCCCACACCUGUGGGACCGCGGGUCUUAGUCACGGCGGCAGGGGCUUUCUGGCCCCCUCCCACUCCCGUUUCCAGGCCAUGACCACUCUGCCCUGUCCUGGCCAUACGGACUCGGCCUGCCUUUGCCCUCGGCCUACUUGCCCUAGCAUGAGGCUCUGAGAGCCACCUGCCCACCAAUCUGGUGAGGAUAAUGGUGGCUCCAGCGACAGGAGGCCAACCCUGGAGACCAAGAACAGGGCGCCUGGCUGCCAUCUUUUCCUCCAGAGGUGGGGCUGCACCAGACUCAGCACUAGCACUCCAUCAGCACUAGCACCCCACUCCAUCGGCACUAACGCCCCACUCCAUCGGCCCCGGCACCCUGCUCCAUCAGCACUGGCGCCCUGCUCCAUCGGCACUGGCGCCCUGCUCCAUCGGCACUAACGCCCCACUCGGCGCCCCACUCCAUCGGCCCCACUCCAUCGGCACUAAUGCCCCACUCGGCGCCCCGCUCCAUCAGCACUAAUGCUCCACUCCAUCAGCACUAACGCACCCACUCCAUUGGCACUAACGCCCCAACUCCAGCGGCACUAAUGACCCGCUCCUUUGACAUUGGUGCCCCACUCCAUCAGCACUAACGCCCUGCUCCAUCGGCACUGGUGUCCCACUCCAUUGUCACUAACGUCCAGCUCCAUCAGCACUACCACCCCGCUCCAUCAUCACUACGUCCAGCUCCGUCGGCACUACCACCCUGCUCCAUCAUCACUACGUCCAGCUCCAACGGCACUGGCGCCCCAUUUCAUCGGCACUAACGCCCCGCUCCAUCUGCACCGGCGCCCCGCUCCACCGGCACCAGCGCCUCGCUCCAUUGGCACUAACGCCCAGCUCCACCAGCACUGGCUCCCCGCUCCAUCGGCACUAACGCCCCGCUUCAUUGGCACUUUGCUGCUGCCUCCUGAGCACUGCCUUCCAUGAACAGGGACAGACCAGAGGCCCUGCAAGGACUCCCCCACAGACCUCCAAAGGGCAACAGAAGAGUAUUAAUAAACGUGAAAACUUA
rnacentral:sRNA from 1 species